rnacentral:lncRNA from 1 species
AAAAAUUCUGGCCGUAUUUGGAUUGAAAACAAUAAUCUUGUCCACUUUUUGGCUAAAAGAAACGAAAAUUUCCGACAGAAUAAUAUAGCAUUAAAUGAACAUAAUGAAUAAAAAACGGGCGUAUUUUUGGGGGACGGGGGUUUGCAUGAACUGAUAUAUUGAAUACUUUUAUCAAGAUCAGACUGCAACCUGCCUGCUGGGUGUGGCCUUUAUGUCUCCAUUUGUCAUGUUUGUCGACCGUCAUUCAUAAAUUCGUUGUCAUUUCAGACUCAUUCGUAGCCUAUGGUUAAUUUUCAAUUUUGUUGGGUAAAACAUAUCAACCAAACAUUUGUAUAAAAAUUGCUUGUUUGUCUUUUUUAACUCGUGUCGCUCGUAUUGUAAAAUUAAUCAAAAAGCGCGGUGUGUAUCUUGUUUACAACAAGAAAUCUGUGAGUUUAUGCUAACUUAACAUACAACAAGCGAGAAUUUUCAAUGUCUAUUUUUUACUGACAAGUCCCACAUCAAAUAUAUCAGUUCAUAGCUUUUGACCCAUACUAUCAUUUUAUGAUAGACAAUUUAUGGGGAGAAUACAACAUCAAAAAUGUCCAACCCUUACACUUAACAGCAACUAUAAAAUAUACAUGCCCCACGUCACGAAC